GUCCUUUGGGGGACAUCCGAUAAAAUUGGAACGAUACAAAGAAGAUUAGCAUGAUCCUACUCAAGAAUGACACGCAUAAAUCGAGAAAUGAUCCAAAUAUAC